GCCCGGGUGGCGAAACUGGCAGACGCAAAGGACUUAAAAUCCUUUGGGGGGCGACCUCCGUGUGGGUUCAAGUCCCACCCCGGGCACCA
rnacentral:tRNA from 1 species